UGACGGGUCGUCCAAUGGCAGGACACGGGACUUUGGAUCCCGUUAUCUAGGUUCGAAUCCUAGCCCGUCAGCCA
rnacentral:tRNA from 1 species